rnacentral:rRNA from 1 species
UCGCUACUACCGAUUGAAUGGUUUAGUGAGAUCUCGGGAUCGACGCUUAGGAGUUGGCAACAGCACCUUUGCGUUGAAAACUUGCUCAAACUUGGUCAUUUAGAGGAAGUAA